rnacentral:tRNA from 1 species
UGCAUCGGCCGGGAAUCGAACCUGGGCCGCCCACGUGGCAGGCGAGCAUUCUACCACUGAACCACCGAUGG